UAAGAAUCUUUUUAAAAAAUAUUUAUUGAAUGACUAUCCACAACAGCUUAUACCAAAUGAAAAACAAUCGAAGAAUCCUUUAGAAGUUGCAGAAGUCGUAUAUGAAUUGAUGUGUACGUGCACAGAACGGAAAAGCUACGUUGGAGAAACAGGAAGAAAACUGGAAGUGAGGCUAAAGGAGCAUGAGGCGGCAAUUCGAUUGAACAGAACUGAAUCCCCGUGGCAACAACACUGCAGUAUUAAAAAUUGUCUUAUUGAUCGUAGUAAUAUUAAAAUUUUGUAUAAAGAAAAAAAUUUUGUAAAAAGACGCAUCAUAGAACAUUACUGUAUUAAAGAACAUGCAAAUUGUAUAAAUUUAAAUACAGGAGCAUAUGUCGAUGCAUGCUGGGAUAGCUUGAUGAACUAUAAUAGUACUGGCAACUUAACAGUGUAAUAUCCACUGAAGAGGCUAAAAUAGCGAAAUAUAUAUGGAUAAUAUAAUAAAGUAAGAAAUAGUGAAAAUAA
rnacentral:lncRNA from 1 species